GUUAUGUAUGUUUGAUUUUGGUUAAUGGUUAGGGAAGGGGAUUUGUUAUAGUUAAGGUUGGAUUCAUGAUGCAGGGUUCAUAAGGGUUCGAUCUGGGCAAGUUGGGGUGUUUCUGGAAAAGUGUUAGAGUUAAGUUCAUAGCCAUGAAGUUUGGGAUUCAAAUGAGAACCCUAGGGUUAAUCUAGGAAGAGGGUAGGGUUCUAGAGAACCAUUAGGGUUCUUAGGGUUCGUGAGAACCCAAUUAAGGUUCUUAGGCUAUGGAGGCUUCUGGGUUUAAGAAGUUAUUAGGAUUCAUCUUAUGAACCCUAGGGUUCAUUUAGGGAACCCAGAUAUGAAGGUUGGAGGUUUUUCUAGAAAAUGUUUGAUGAAC
rnacentral:lncRNA from 1 species